rnacentral:rRNA from 1 species
AAAUACUCCCGAGAGACCGAUAGCGAACCAGUACCGUGAGGGAAAGGUGAAAAGAACCCCGAGCAGGGGAGUGAAAUAGACCCUGAACCCGUCUGCCUACAAGCGGUCGGAGCGUCGUAAUGACGUGACGGCGUGCCUUUUGCAUAAUGAACCUACGAGUUACCUUCCCCGGCAAGGUUAAGUUCUUGAGGAACGGAGCCGAAGCGAAAGCGAGUCUGAACAGGGCGCCAAGUCGGGGGGGGUAGACGCGAAACCGAGUGAUCUACCCUUGGCCAGGUUGAAGGUUGGGUAACACCAACUGGAGGACCGGAUGGGUAAGCGUUGAAAAGCUUUCCAAUGAGCUGAGGGUAGGGGUGAAAGGCUAAUCAAACUCGGAGAUAGCUCGUACUCCCCGAAAUGCAUUUAGGUGCAGCCUCUUUAUAGUAUAUCGUGAGGUAGAGCGACUGAUUGGAUGCGAGGGCUUCACCGCCUAUCAAGUCCAGAUAAACUCCGAAUGCGCGAUAUAUAUUUACAGGGAGUGAGGGCGCGGGUGCUAAGGUCCGUGUCCGAGAGGAGAAGAAUCCAGACCACCGGCUAAGGCCCCCAAAUGAUCGUUAAGUUGAACUAACGAGGUCGGAUCGCAGAGACAGCUAGGAUGUUGGCUUGGAAGCAGCCAUUCAUUUAAAGAGUGCGUAACAGCUCACUAGUCGAGCGAUCUGGCGUGGAUAAUAAUCGGGCAUAAACGAUCUGCCGAAGCCGUGGAUGUCGCAAGACAUGGUAGGGGAGCAUUCCAUGCCGCGUCGAAGAUGAGGGAUGACCCUUGUUGGAGCGCAUGGAAAAGCAAAUGUAGGUAUGAGUAACGAUAAGGGGGGCGAGAAACCCCCCCGCCGAAAGACCAAGGUUUCCUGAUCAACGCUAAUCGGAUCAGGGUGAGUCGGGACCUAAGGCAAAGCCGAACGGCGCCGCCGAUGGAAGAAUGGGUUAAUAUUCCCAUACUGCCUCAUGGAGUGACGUGGAGACGGAGAAGUGACAGUCCUGCCGGCUGACGGAAUAGCCGGUUGAAGGGUGUAGAUAUUGAUUCCCGUAGGCAAAUCCGCGGGGAGAGUCGAACCUGAGAGUAUACGGAGCGCUUGCGCAACGUAAUAUGGACGUAACCAUGCUCCCGAGAAAAUCCGCUAAACUUAUCCAUGCGGCACCCGUACCGUAAACGGACACACGUGGUCGGGUUGAGAAUACUGAGGCGCUCGAGUGAUUCACGGUUAAGGAACUAGGCAAAUUGACCCUGUAACUUCGGGAUAAAGGGUCCCUGCUGAGAGGUAGGGCGCAGAGAAUAGGUCCAGGCAACUGUUUAACAAAAACACAGGGCUGUGCAAAAUUGAAAGAUGAAGUAUACAGCCUGACACCUGCCCGGUGCUGGAAGGUUAAGAGGAGAUGUCAUCGCAAGAGAAGCAUUGAAUUGAAGCCCCAGUAAACGGCGGCCGUAACUAUAACGGUCCUAAGGUAGCGAAAUUCCUUGUCGGGUAAGUUCCGACCUGCACGAAUGGUGUAAUGAUCCGGACGCUGUCUCAACCGUGAGCUCAGUGAAAUUGUAGUAUCGGUGAAGAUGCCGAUUACCCGCGAUGGGACGAAAAGACCCCGUGAACCUUUACUAUAGCUUUACAUUGAGUUUGGGCAGACGAUGUGUAGGAUAGGCCGGAGGCAUUGAAGCAGGUACGCCAGUAUUUGUGGAGCCGACGUUGAAAUACGGCCCUUCGGUUGUUUGAGUUCUAACUCCUAGUUAGGAGGACACUGUAUGGUGGGUAGUUUGACUGGGGUGGUCGCCUCCAAAAGCGUAACGGAGGCUUCUA